rnacentral:lncRNA from 1 species
GGACAGUGGACAUGGCAGUGGACAUUCUGGCCCUGGCUAGUAGUAUGCAGAGAGGAAAUCCAGCUAAAAUGUAGCUUUUCCCUGGCUCAUUCAUAGUUGAGAUAGUGGGUGUGCGUAUAAUAAAUGGCUGACAGUCCCAUACACUAAACAAUUCUGGGAUGGAAGAGUCCAGUUAAAACCAGAAACUUGGGGGUGAGGAGUGAGCAACCUCUCUCUCUCUCUCUCUCUCUCUCUCUCUCUCUCUCUCUCUCUCUCUCGAUGGAAACUUUCCCAAAGCAUGCACUUGCUCUCUAUUUGAGUUUCUCAUUUCAUAAACUGGGAUCAAUUUGUAGUCCUUACAGGAAAAAAAAAGGUAUCAUGGGCAUUAAAAAAUUCACGUAGGAAAAAAGACUGCCCCUUGCCAUAGAGUGUAACCCAAAUCCAGCACUAACAGAAAGUUUACUCAGUAGCCCAGGUUUCACAGAUGAGGCAACUCAGUGCCAGAGAAGGCCAGUGACUUGCUGCAUGUUGCAAAGGGAGUUUGUGACAUGGCCAGGAUUGGAAGCUAGGGCUCAUCUCUUUGUUUAGUUUUUUCCCCCAAGUAAUCAAAAGCCUCCAAAGCACGCAGAACAUCCCUCCAAAUAAGUAAGAAAUUAUUUUAGAAAUUGCACUUACAAGAUUUCCAUCAAUUCAACAAAUGUUCAUUGAACAUACACUGUGUACUAAUGGAGCUGAUAUUUGUGGAGCAAUGAUAGAAAGAUAUAGCACAGUCUUUAUCCUCCAGUAGCUCACUGAGUAAACAAGAGGCAAAGAUUUGAAACAGAUAAAAAUAACAGGCACUAUGUGAUAAGUGCCAAAAUUGAAAGAAUAGUGUGUCCAAGGAAGUACUCAAAGUCAACAGUCUGUGAUGCUUCCCAGCUUAUAGCGAAGGUGACUUUAAGUUAGGCGAGAGGGUAUUUAAGUAGCUGCUGCUCAAUUCAAGGGGAUUUCCUAAUACAUUGGGAGCUAGGUGGCUUGGAGAAAGGAGGAGAAUUUCAAGCAAGUAAGCUAGUUCUUAGCCUCAGAAUUUUUUUUUUCAGUGUUUGCAAUCAAACCCAGGCUUUUCACAUGAUAGGCAAGCACUAUAUCACCAAGCUACCUUCUCAGCUAUGGAAUUUGUACUGUUAAUGGAUCCUCACAUGAUCAUGGUGCUUAGCUAGGUGUGGUGUCCAGUUGUAUAAAGGAUGAUGGAGAGUAGAUUAGAGUGCUAUACACCAAUCCAUCUCUUCCUUCCUUAUCCUCAGUUUCUCUAGGGUAGGAACAUCAAUAAUUCUUCUCUCAAUUUUGCUGAAAAGCAAGUUGAGAGUCCAGAGACUUUCACAGAUGUGCCCAAGGUCAUUCUUCAACUAGAGGUCACUCUGGUCUCCUACCAACCAGUAGAAACAGAAAGAUGGCAAAAUAUCAUCCCAAGGAAUAUUUGCUUCACUUCUCUGCAAGACAAGUCUGACCCACUUGGUUAGCCAGGGAGUCUGUUGCCCAAAGUACAAAAAGGAACAAAUCUGUGGAACUGCCAGGUGUGUAGAACAGAGCCCAAGGCGAGGUUAGUCCCUGGGAGUGCAGUGGCACCCCCUUUCUCCACAGAAAAGCCCUCUUCAC